GGCCGCUUGGCGCAAUGGUAGCGCGCGGUCCUCCUAUUUCGUCUUGAUGAAGUCGGGAGGUCAGACCGAGGUUGCGGGUUCGAGUCCCGUAGUGGUCG
rnacentral:tRNA from 1 species